rnacentral:lncRNA from 1 species
UGAAGUACUCUUGACAGGAAAUGUGUGCAGGAAAUGUGAUAGUCCAAUAAAUCUGCUUCUUUUCAUAGUACUAAAAUAUUAAACAUGUGCAGGAAAUGUGAGUGAUAUUAUCUUUCAAACACUCAGAGCCUAUAUAUGUCACUACUUGUCCACGCGACUCAUAUUCAAAGAAGGGUUCGAUCUCUAACCUACUCUUUGUGAACAUCAGUGCAAAUUCGGAGAAUGGUAUAUUUUUAUCAGGCUCCAAACAUGGGCUUCUUAGUGAUUUGAGAUUCAUCAACUUGAACCUUUCUAUGCAGAUGUUAAGAUAAGAUAUUGCUGGUUUUGGUUCUUGUUUGUAAAAUUCGUAAGUUAAGACCUUUGAGUUGUGAUCUUGUUCGGUUUAGCUAUAUAUGAUUCAUCCCUUGAAUUCUAUUUUUUCUGCUUUUGUGUAUAUUUGGUCCUAUAUAGAAUAAGAGUGAUGAAUUAGGCAAGAAAGGAAUGUGGCAUGGGAUAUUUGGAGUGGAAUCUGGACAGAUGUUCUUGUAA